AACCCAUGGUGAGGGCACCUUCUCAAUAAAUCCUUAUACCUCUCCCAUGCAUCAUAUAGAGUCUCUAAAUCCAUUUGCACGAAGGAAGAGAUAUCAUUCCUCAACUU
rnacentral:snoRNA from 1 species